rnacentral:rRNA from 1 species
AUGAAUCCCUCAUCAGCCCUGGGCCCGGAUGGCCUCCCGGUUAAGUUCUUCCAGUCCUUCUGGAAUGUGAUUAAGCCCGAGAUCAUGGCCAUCUUUGAUGGGUUCUACGUUGGCUCCAUUAACCUUGGGCGCCUUAACUAUGGGAUCAUCUCUCUCAUCCCUAAGGUCUCUGGGGCCUCCGACAUCCGCCAGUUCCGCCCGAUCACGGUCAUUAACAUGAUUUUUUGGAUCCUAGCCAAAGGGUACGCCAAUAGGGUGACCCUGCUUGCUGACCACAUCACCCACCCUAACCAGACCGCCUUCAUCCAAGGGCGGUAUAUUCUAGACGAGGUGCUGGUUCUUCACGAGGUCCUGCAUGAGGUGCGAUCUAAACACCUCAGGGCGGUCUUCCUUAAGAUUAACUUCCAUAAGGCUUAUGGCACCGUUAGUUGGACCUUCCUUUGGGAAGUUUUGCUCCGGAAGGGCUUCGAUGAGCACUGGAUCACCCAUGUGAUGCAGAUGGUCUCUUGCGGUCGCACUGCCAUGAACAUCAAUGGGGAGAUCGGCCCUUACUUCCCCACCCUAUGUGGGGUCCGUCAAGGCGACCCCUUCUCCCCAUUCCUGUUCAACAUGGUGGUCGAUGCGCUUGCUGCCAUCCUGGACAAGGCUAAGGUUGUGGGCCAUAUUCAUGGGAUCACCCCCACCUGGCUAGCGGCUCCGGGAUCUCCCUCCUACAGUACGCCGACGACACCAUCAUCAUGGUCGAAGGCUCGGAGACGGACAUCUCUAACCUUAAGUUCCUCCUCCUUUGCUUCCAACAAAUGUCUGGCCUCAAGAUCAAUUUCGAUAAGAGUGAUGUGA